UGGCAACCCACUCCAGUAUUCUUGUCUGGAGAAUUCCAUGGACAAGUGCCAGGUGGGCUACAGUCCAUGGGGUCACAAAGAGUCAGACAUAACUAGACGAUCAAGCACAGCACAGCUUAAUGAGAUGGCUAGCUGUUUAGAGGCCAAGGGUUCUGACUGUAAACAACAGAAUUAUUUUCAUGAUCUGAUAAAGACAGCGGAUACUUCACUAGUGCUGCUGCUUUGACUGCAUGACUUUGCCAGAGAACAAACUAAAGGUUAACAUUGAAUACAUCGGCUCAGAUGGAGGAGACCGAACCUUGAUGUAUCCUGUCCUGCCCUCUUUUUCUACCAAUGGCUAAAUAUGAUGGCUCCGCAAUAGGUGUUG
rnacentral:lncRNA from 1 species